rnacentral:tRNA from 1 species
GGGGGAUUAGCUCAGUUGGCUAGAGCACUUGCUUUGCAAGCAAGGGGUCAAGGGUUCGACUCCCUUAUUCUCCA